rnacentral:rRNA from 1 species
GGUAACACUGAAUGGAGGACCGAACCGACUUACGUUGAAAAGUGAGCGGAUGAACUGAGGGUAGCGGAGAAAUUCCAAUCGAACCUGGAGAUAGCUGGUUCUCUCCGAAAUAGCUUUAGGGCUAGCCUCAAGUGAUGAUUAUUGGAGGUAGAGCACUGUUUGGACGAGGGGCCCCUCUCGGGUUACCGAAUUCAGACAAACUCCGAAUGCCAAUUAAUUUAACUUGGGAGUCAGAACAUGGGUGAUAAGGUCCGUGUUCGAAAGGGAAACAGCCCAGACCACCAGCUAAGGUCCCAAAAUAUAUGUUAAGUGGAAAAGGAUGUGGCGUUGCCCAGACAACUAGGAUGUUGGCUUAGAAGCAGCCAUCAUUUAAAGAGUGCGUAAUAGCUCACUAGUCGAGUGACACUGCGCCGAAAAUGUACCGGGGCUAAACAUAUUACCGAAGCUGUGGAUUGUCCUUUGGACAAUGGUAGGAGAGCGUUCUAAGGGCGUUGAAGCAUGAUCGUAAGGACAUGUGGAGCGCUUAGAAGUGAGAAUGCCGGUGUGAGUAGCGAAAGACGGGUGAGAAUCCCGUCCACCGAUUGACUAAGGUUUCCAGAGGAAGGCUCGUCCGCUCUGGGUUAGUCGGGUCCUAAGCUGAGGCCGACAGGCGUAGGCGAUGGAUAACAGGUUGAUAUUCCUGUACCACCUAUAAUCGUUUUAAUCGAUGGGGGGACGCAGUAGGAUAGGCGAAGCGUGCGAUUGGAUUGCACGUCUAAGCAGUAAGGCUGAGUAUUAGGCAAAUCCGGUACUCGUUAAGGCUGAGCUGUGAUGGGGAGAAGACAUUGAGUCUUCGAGUCGUUGAUUUCACACUGCCGAGAAAAGCCUCUAGAUAGAAAAUAGGUGCCCGUACCGCAAACCGACACAGGUAGUCAAGAUGAGAAUUCUAAGGUGAGCGAGCGAACUCUCGUUAAGGAACUCGGCAAAAUGACCCCGUAACUUCGGGAGAAGGGGUGCUCUUUAGGGUUAACGCCCAGAAGAGCCGCAGUGAAUAGGCCCAAGCGACUGUUUAUCAAAAACACAGGUCUCUGCUAAACCGUAAGGUGAUGUAUAGGGGCUGACGCCUGCCCGGUGCUGGAAGGUUAAGAGGAGUGGUUAGCUUCUGCGAAGCUACGAAUCGAAGCCCCAGUAAACGGCGGCCGUAACUAUAACGGUCCUAAGGUAGCGAAAUUCCUUGUCGGGUAAGUUCCGACCCGCACGAAAGGCGUAACGAUUUGGGCACUGUCUCAACGAGAGACUCGGUGAAAUCAUAGUACCUGUGAAGAUGCAGGUUACCCGCGACAGGACGGAAAGACCCCGUGGAGCUUUACUGUAGCCUGAUAUUGAAAUUCGGCACAGCUUGUACAGGAUAGGUAGGAGCCUUUGAAACGUGAGCGCUAGCUUACGUGGAGGCGCUGGUGGGAUACUACCCUA